CGGCGGGUACAGUAGCCGGGUCGUUCUCGCACCCGUACGGGGGGAAGCCGGUGGAAUUCCGGCGCUGACCCGCAACCGUGAGCCACACACGUGGCGAGCCGGAUCGCCCCGCACGGUUCGUGACC
rnacentral:ncRNA from 2 species